AUUGAACGCUGGCGGCAGGCCUAACACAUGCAAGUCGAACGGUAACAGGAAGCAGCUUGCUGCUUUGCUGACGAGUGGCGGACGGGUGAGUAAUGUCUGGGAAACUGCCCGAUGGAGGGGGAUAACUACUGGAAACGGUAGCUAAUACCGCAUAACGUCGCAAGACCAAAGAGGGGGACCUUAGGGCCUCUUGCCAUCGGAUGUGCCCAGAUGGGAUUAGCUAGUAGGUGGGGUAACGGCUCACCUAGGCGACGAUCCCUAGCUGGUCUGAGAGGAUGACCAGCCACACUGGAACUGAGACACGGUCCAGACUCCUACGGGAGGCAGCAGUGGGGAAUAUUGCACAAUGGGCGCAAGCCUGAUGCAGCCAUGCCGCGUGUAUGAGGAAGGCCUUCGGGUUGUAAAGUACUUUCAGCGGGGAGGAAGGGAGUAAAGUUAAUACCUUUGCUCAUUGACGUUACCCGCAGAAGAAGCACCGGCUAACUCCGUG
rnacentral:rRNA from 1 species